rnacentral:rRNA from 1 species
UACGAAGGGGGCAAGCGUUGUUCGGAAUCAUUGGGCGUAAAGCGCGUGUAGGCUGUCUAUUAAGUCGAGUGUGAAAUCCCUAGGCUCAACCAAGGAAGUGCAUUCGAAACUAAUAGACUAGAAGAUGGUAGAGGAUGGUGGAAUUCCAGGUGUAGAGGUGAAAUUCGUAGAUAUCUGGAGGAAUACCGGUGGCGAAGGCGGCCAUCUGGGCCAUUCUUGACGCUGAGACGCGAAAGCGUGGGUAGCAAACAGG